GACGAACGCUGGCGGCGUGCUUAACACAUGCAAGUGGAGCGACGAACCAGGGCUUGCCCUGGGGCAGAGCCGCGAACGGGUGAGUAACACGUGGGUAACCUACCCCGAUGACCGGGACAACCCGAGGAAACUCGGGCUAAUACCGGAUGUGCUCUUGAUUCAUGAGGAUCACGAGUAAAGAUAGCUUCGGCCUUCGCAUCGGGACGGGCCCGCGGCCCAUUAGCUUGUUGGUGGGGUAACGGCCUACCAAGGCGACGAUGGGUAGCUGGUCUGAGAGGACGAUCAGCCACACUGGGACUGAGACACGGCCCAGACUCCUACGGGAGGCAGCAGUGGGGAAUCUUGCGCAAUGCGCGAAAGCGUGACGCAGCAACGCCGCGUGGGGGAAGAAGGCCUUCGGGUUGUAAAGCUCUUUCAGCGGGGAAGAUAAUGACGGUACCCGCAGAAGAAGCCCCGGCUAACUUCGUGCCAGCCGCCGCCGUAACAC
rnacentral:rRNA from 1 species